GACGAACCGUGCGAACGUUGUUCGGAAUCACUGGGCUUAAAGGGCGCGUAGGCGGGCGAGCGAGUCGGAGGUGAAAUCCCACGGCCCAACCGUGGAAGUGCCCCCGAUACUGCUCGUCUGGAGGGAGAUAGGGGCGUGCGGAACUUCCGGUGGAGCGGUGAAAUGCGUAGAUAUCGGAAGGAACAUCAGUGGCGAAAGCGACUUCCUGGACCAAUACUGACGCUCAUGUGCGAAAGCGUGGGGAGCAAACAGG
rnacentral:rRNA from 1 species